UGGGGAAUCUUGGACAAUGGGGGAAACCCUGAUCCAGCGAUGCCGCGUGAGUGAUGAAGGCCUUCGGGUUGUAAAACUCUUUUACCCGGGAAGAUAAUGACUGUACCGGGAGAAUAAGCUCCGGCUAACUUCGUGCCAGCAGCCGCGGUAAUACGAAGGGGGCUAGCGUUGUUCGGAAUUACUGGGCGUAAAGCGCGCGCAGGCGGCCAUUCAAGUCAGGGGUGAAAGCCCAGAGCUCAACUCUGGAACUGCCCUUGAAACUGUAUGGCUUGAGUAUGAGAGAGGUGAGUGGAAUUCCCAGUGUAGAGGUGAAAUUCGUAGAUAUUGGGAAGAACACCGGUGGCGAAGGCGGCUCACUGGCUCAUUACUGACGCUCAGGCGCGACAGCGUGGGGAUCAAACAGGAUUAGAUACCCCCGUAGUCC
rnacentral:rRNA from 1 species